UUGAGAUGAGGGGUAAACCAGGCUUUGGCAUAUUAAUCUGGUUUAUAUGAACGAAGGAGGUGUGAUUAGAUGAUACUUGGUACACCUCACUUCAUCAAAAUUUGAGUGAUUUUAUUAAGUUUUGGCUUUGUCCAAUGUAUCACAUUGGGAAAGAGAGUGGCGCCAUCCUGGCGUGUGAAAGUCUCUUCCCCCGACAUUCGGUUUAGUAACCGUUGGUUUGGGGCGCCCUAGUAGGUGUGAUGUGACGAUUGCCAGAUGACCGCUGCUCCACUACGACUCGGACCAAUGAAAUUUGAAUGUGGCUGUUCGGCACGUUUCCGACGUCAUAAGUGACUUUUUGGGGGGCGAAUCUGAUUGUCGUAUUCAAUUCAAAAUUCAAGAACAGUUACGUUGCGGGAAUAUAAAAAGCGAGGUUGCGUUGGGGCUCGCUCUCUGAAAGUUCGGUUCUUCAAGGCAAGCAGACAGUUUCUCCUCGAUUCAUCAUAUUUCAAGUACAAAAUACAACAGCCGAAUCAUCGCGCUGCCCAAAAAUCAGAAUAACUUAUUGAAAGGAAUUAAAAGGUGACUUCGGUGUGGUCUGCAGUUGAUCAUCCCCACAGAUUUCACGUCCUUGGCGCACGGCCGCUCCAACUAUCACAGUCCCCGUAUAAUCCCUGAGAGUCGGACAAUCUUGCUCGCCGAGAAACCCUACACCAAUUAUUAUUCCUUAUGUCCUUCCGCUUUAUAUCAAGCUGUAACCGCAAGCAAACCGGGCACGCUACUGGGUUUGAUCCCGGGGCAACCAGAGUAAUAAGAAGAAGAACAGUCAGCGGAAGGGCGGUCGCAUAACUAAUUGAAGUUAAAUAAGCAAUGUCUUAAUCAAACUUUACGCAAUUGUAAAGCAUGUAUAAAGGAAAUAUUUAGAAUAAAGCCAAUAUAUAAACUUCCUUUCCGUAUAGACGUAUUUACGUCAAAUCCUCCGGAACCGUGGUUCCAAUGACAACUUUUUCCUUGCAGGAUUGAGGUUACGGGACCACUGCCCCACCAGAGGAAAUACUCUUUACAAUUCCAUGAGAGAAGGAUUCAUUUUCUGAAAAAUAUAGUGAAAAGGAACUUGUGGAGUGUAGCUUGUACUGGCUUCGUCUUCUCCGGCUCUGCAGUAUGACAGUAGAUCGUCUUUUUACUCCCUUGCCGAAAUGUUAAGAGCAGUUACUCUCUCUCUCUCUCUCUCUCUCUCCUGCUUCUUUCUCAAGAAGUGGUUACCCUUGGCGCUCCGGAGGGAGUUUUUGGCCGCGUGCCAUCUCGAACAAGACUCGAAUAUGACGUCUAUGGUAUGUUUGAACACGACCAAACUUACUGACGGUAUGACGCACAUAAUUUUCUUUGUUUAUUUUAUCUUGGACCCGGUUAGUUGGGUAUUUUCAGUUGUCUGGUUCGAACGUUGACAUUUACAUCUGAGCCUUCGUCUGUCCGAGACUGAAACAGGCGAAGAUGGAACAUUUCAGUUAACCCGUUCUGACACACACACACACACCCGCCAGGCAGUGAGGCGAGGGGUAUAAUGUUCUUGUACUUGUCUGAAGCUUUCUCGGCGGUUGGAGUCCGAUGUUUAACUUCGAUUUUCGGGUGACAACCGCGUAGGAUAUUCAGUGUUUACAAACGUUUCGGCAAACAUUGCUGUUGUAAUUUUCAAGAAGGUUAAAGAGUUCAGUUGCGAGAUGUCUCAGGAAGCAAAGCUUAAAAUACACGAUUCUGGGUGUGAAACUUGGUUCAUCAGCUUGUGGGAAUAAUAUGUAGAUUGAGUGUAAACACAAAGAAGUCAGGUGAAGGUGUCGAUUGUGGCCUUCCGGUUUGUGACGCCGUGUGAACUUGUAGGCAGUUCACAUUUUCCAGAGGAGCAGGAUCCCUCCAUCUUCACGACUGAAGAUGGAGGCAUUGGGUUCAUUUGAAAAAUUUUAUCACCCACAAGUCCGCAAACCAGAAUAACAACUUUGUCACCUGAGGCGACCAGUUUUUUUGAAACGAAGAGGAAGGAAGUGGGAGGAGACUGGAGGAGUCACGUGAUGUGCUUGGAAGAAGUGAGAAAAGCAGACGAAUUUUGGUCGGAGAUAUCACUUAGGAAACUUAAGCGUUGGUAGGACUGUAAUAGUAAAAUGGUUACUUUUAUUUCAUUAUUAUUGUAUGUAUUAUCAGUGCUUGGCUGUUAUUGGCCUUAUUUGGGUGUUGUCAAGUACUUAAAUAAAUGAAUUGAAUUGAAA